CCCAGCUUUGAAUUUUAACUCCUCAAAGUCCAAAGUGACUUCUCAGGAAUGACCCACACCAUGAGCUCAUAUCUAUCUUCCUGAGGCCUGCCCAGACCUGUUGAAGUAGAGAGAAGAAGGCAAGGCCCCUGCUCUUGAGAAGCAGAAAACGUAUGAGGAAGAAAAUAGCAGAUGAGAAGAAUCAACCAAAUUCCGGAAGCUGGAAAACAGAUGCAAGAAGGCCCUUGAAUGAUGCCAGCACCUUGAUAUUGGACUUCCUAGCCUCCAGAACCAUAAGCCAAUACAUUUCUGUUCCAUAAAAAUUACCCAGUUCCAGGUAUUCUGCUAUAGCAGCACAAAAUGGACUAAAACAAUGUUGGCACAAGACUCAGUGCUGGGCCUGGCAUACAACGAG